AGAGUUUGAUCCUGGCUCAGGAUGAACGCUGGCGGCGUGCCUAAUACAUGCAAGUCGAGCGAACGGACGAGAAGCUUGCUUCUCUGAUGUUAGCGGCGGACGGGUGAGUAACACGUGGAUAACCUACCUAUAAGACUGGGAUAACUUCGGGAAACCGGAGCUAAUACCGGAUAAUAUUUUGAACCGCAUGGUUCAAAAGUGAAAGACGGUCUUGCUGUCACUUAUAGAUGGAUCCGCGCUGCAUUAGCUAGUUGGUAAGGUAACGGCUUACCAAGGCAACGAUGCAUAGCCGACCUGAGAGGGUGAUCGGCCACACUGGAACUGAGACACGGUCCAGACUCCUACGGGAGGCAGCAGUAGGGAAUCUUCCGCAAUGGGCGAAAGCCUGACGGAGCAACGCCGCGUGAGUGAUGAAGGUCUUCGGAUCGUAAAACUCUGUUAUUAGGGAAGAACAUAUGUGUAAGUAACUGUGCACAUCUUGACGGUACCUAAUCAGAAAGCCACGGCUAACUACGUGCCAGCAGCCGCGGUAAUACGUAGGUGGCAAGCGUUAUCCGGAAUUAUUGGGCGUAAAGCGCGCGUAGGCGGUUUUUUAAGUCUGAUGUGAAAGCCCACGGCUCAACCGUGGAGGGUCAUUGGAAACUGGAAAACUUGAGUGCAGAAGAGGAAAGUGGAAUUCCAUGUGUAGCGGUGAAAUGCGCAGAGAUAUGGAGGAACACCAGUGGCGAAGGCGACUUUCUGGUCUGUAACUGACGCUGAUGUGCGAAAGCGUGGGGAUCAAACAGGAUUAGAUACCCUGGUAGUCCACGCCGUAAACGAUGAGUGCUAAGUGUUAGGGGGUUUCCGCCCCUUAGUGCUGCAGCUAACGCAUUAAGCACUCCGCCUGGGGAGUACGACCGCAAGGUUGAAACUCAAAGGAAUUGACGGGGACCCGCACAAGCGGUGGAGCAUGUGGUUUAAUUCGAAGCAACGCGAAGAACCUUACCAAAUCUUGACAUCCUUUGACAACUCUAGAGAUAGAGCCUUCCUCUUCGGGGGACAAAGUGACAGGUGGUGCAUGGUUGUCGUCAGCUCGUGUCGUGAGAUGUUGGGUUAAGUCCCGCAACGAGCGCAACCCUUAAGCUUAGUUGCCAUCAUUAAGUUGGGCACUCUAAGUUGACUGCCGGUGACAAACCGGAGGAAGGUGGGGAUGACGUCAAAUCAUCAUGCCCCUUAUGAUUUGGGCUACACACGUGCUACAAUGGACAAUACAAAGGGCAGCGAAACCG
rnacentral:rRNA from 9 species